CACAGCAAUGCCUGUUACCAGGUGACUCCAGGCAGUCAUUGUUCAGACCUGCUCACACAUCCCAUGUGUGUUCUGCUCCUUCUGGCCUUGCUAUUAGCAGUGGACCCAUGCCCAAGGCACUCCUGGAAGCCCUUCCAGCACCCCUGGUCUCCCCAUGGUGUCAGCUGCUGGACUGCUGCCAUGCUGGCCUGACCACUGUGCCCCCUGACACCAGUGGAUGGAUCUUACCAUCUUAAUCCUCAAGGACAAUGACUUAAAAGCAGUGAAGCACCAUUCACUGGAAGGCUGCUCCUGCUGAAGCACCUACAGCUGAGCUGAAGGGAACAAUGCAGGUGGCUGGAUGAUCCAUGCCAGAAUAACACAUCCUAGCAAGGUUGUCCAUAAUCAGCCAGCA